AUGGAGAAAGGUAUUGUAUUUCUUGUAUGUUUGCCUUAAGAGGAGAAUUCCACUUUCUAUAGACCUCUUCAGGUGCAUCUUCGAGAUGCGUAAACUGGCUUAGUACAAUGUGUUUGUCUUUUUCACUACUAGGGUCCCUUUACUCUUUCCCAAGUUUAGGAAUUCGAACAGUGGGUGAAAAUCUUGGUCUUUCUUUGCUCGCCCUCCCGAAGGUCGAUUCCCUUUCAAUACCAAUUGGUAGCAUCCCCAAAUUCGCAUUUUCAAUAGCCAAGUAGAAAUUACUUCUCUUCUAAAAACUCAAAUCCAAGAGUUGGUCGAUGUACCCCCUUUCGCACUUGACUUAGGAUUGGUUCUGACCAUGAGGAAAAUGUUAAUAGUGGGGAUGAGUCAUCCUACUGGUAGGCGGUUUCGUUGGGUUUUGCGAUUUUUUGUUUGCACAUAUUUUUUGUUUGUUGUUUUUCUGGGUUAAUGAGUUUUGGCGUAUGUAUGUAGAUAUGGAUUUUGACCUUGAUCAGGUAUUGAAGACCCUGCCGGGAGGUGACAAGGACCUUGCUCCCAUUGACGGGAUGGAGUUUGAUUUGAAGGGGACUAUGGAUUCUAUGCCCGAGUAGGGACAUAGGAGUGAUGUUGAUCCAUCUCCCAUCCCUUUAAAAAGGAAGAAGACAGGCAUCCAAGGAGGAAGGUCUCAGAUGGACAAAAAGACCCCCCAACCUUCAGACGAGCCCAUGAGGUUGUCCCUUCUCCUAGGCCAGGUGCUUCCAACCGUAUGCAGUGUGAGCGCGAGGAUUCACUUCUGAAUUUUCGGUUUCCUCCCACCCGGGGCUAUCAUGAGAUGGGGGCGCUUAAGUCUUUGAUAACACCCGCUCAAGCCAGGGCAAUUGCAGGACAUAGUGCUGACAACAUCGAGAGGGCAGUGGUGGCCUAUCUCCAAAGGGUGGUGGCCCUUCAGGCCGGGCUUGCUGAAUCGAGUCGUCGCCAAGCCUUAGAGUUGAAGACUCCUAUAGAAAAAAAAAGAAAGAGGCCCAUCAUUACAAGAAAAAGAUAUAUUCUUUGAAGAAAUCUCUAGAGGCGGACAGAGAAUAACAAUUUGCAGUCUGUGUUGGCUUGUGCUUCGGAGGAGGUGGUCGAGAGGUAUAAGGCCUCUGCUGAGUAUAAUAGGGACUUAGAGGCAUCCGUGGAGCAGUACAAGCCGUCAUCUGAUUAUGCCAAGGCUUUACAUUCAUAUAGGGGAAGGCAAUGGCAGCGUCCAUCAAACUAACACAGGAGUGGAUAUUGACCAAGCAUCCUUGAACCCUCAGGUUUUGAUAAGUUCAGAAGCAGAGUGGGGCGCAGCCAUCCAGGUCACUUGGUCAUUCGUCACGAGAUGGUAGUGGCGAUGCUUCUCUUUCGAGUUGAAGCAUGCUUAGUCGUAGUUCUUUUUGUUAGUGCCCCUCUUUUUUGUAUCGCCUUUUAUUUCUACUUGUAGCAUCAUUCCCUACUUGUCCGAGGUGUGGGUAAGAGCACAUCACAUGUUUUU